CCCUUAGAUGUUCUGGGCCGCACGCGCGCUACACUGACGAAGUCAGCGAGCAUGUCCUACGCCGACAGGUGCGGGGAAUCUUGUCAAACUUCGUCGUGAUGGGGAUUGAUUAUUGAAAUUCUUGAUCAUCAACGAGGAAUUCCUAGUAAGCGCAAGUCAGCAGCUUGCGUUGAUUACGUCCCUGCCCUUUGUACACACCGCCCGUCGCUCCUACCGAUUGGGUGUGCUGGUGAAAUGUUCGGAUCGGCCGUUUGUCGCGGUUUCCGCGUCAUGUGGCUGAGAAGUUCAUUAAACCCUCCCACCGAGAGGAAGGAGAAGUCGUAACA
rnacentral:rRNA from 1 species